UCAAAGAAUGACUCAUAUGUAAUGUCAGCAGCUGGAGGAAAAGUUUCACUGUUUAAUAUGAUGACAUUCAAGGUAAUGACAACAUUCAUGUCUCCUCCUCCUGCUUCAACCUUCCUAGCAUUCCAUCCUCAGGAAGAUAACAUUAUAGCCAUUGGAAUGGAGGAUUCAACUAUUCAUAUCUACAACGUUCGAGUGGAUGAGGUGAAAUCAAAACUGAAGGGUCACCAGAAGAGAAUUACUGGUUUAGCUUUUUCCACUAAUCUCAAUAUCUUGGUUUCUUCGGGUGCUGAUGCUCAACUUUGCAUCUGGAGUAUUGACACAUGGGAGAAAAGGAAGUUAGUUACAAUUCAAAUUCCAGCAGGAAAGGCUCCUAAUGGCGACACCCGGGUACAGUUCCACUCUGAUCAGACCCACUUACUGGUGGUUCAUGAGACCCAGUUAGCAAUAUAUGAUGCCUCCAAGAUGGAACGUGUCCGACAGUGGGUACCACAAGAUGCAUUGUCUGCUCCCCUAUCUUAUGCGGCAUACUCUUGCAACAGCCAGUUAAUUUAUGCUACAUUUUGUGAUGGUAACAUUGGGGUAUUUGAUGCUGAUAGCUUGAGAUUGAGGUGCCGCAUUGCUUCAUCAGCAUAUCUGUCCCAGGCAAUCAUGAAUAGAAGCCAAUCUGUUUACCCUCUUGUUGUUGCUGCACAUCCC
rnacentral:misc_RNA from 1 species